CAGUCGCCGCGGUAAUCCGUAGGGUGCAAGCGUUAAUCGGAAUUACUGGGCGUAAAGCGUGCGCAGGCGGUUCGCUAAGACAGAUGUGAAAUCCCCGGGCUUAACCUGGGAACUGCACUUGUGACUGGCGGGCUAGAGUAUGGCAGAGGGGGGUGGAAUUCCACGUGUAGCAGUGAAAUGCGUAGAGAUGUGGAGGAACACCGAUGGCGAAGGCAGCCCCCUGGGCCAAUACUGACGCUCAUGCACGAAAGCGUGGGGAGCAAACAGGAUUAGAUACCCCGGUAGUCCCUGUCUCUUAUAC
rnacentral:rRNA from 1 species